rnacentral:rRNA from 1 species
ACGGAAGGCAGCAGCUAAGAAUAUUCCGCAAUGGACGAAAGUCUGACGGAGCGACGCCGCGUGGAUGAUGAAGGUCAGAAGAUUGUAAAAUCCUUUUAUGACUGAGGAAUAAGUGAAGUGAGAGAAACGCUUCAUGGUGACUGUAGGUCAUGAAUAAGCAACGGCUAAUUACGUGCCAGCAGCCGCGGUAACACGUAAGUUGCGAGCGUUGUUCGGAAUUAUUGGGCGUAAAGGGCAUGUAGGCGGUUUUGCAAGCUUGGUGUGAAAUUCCGGGGCUCAACUCCGGAACUGCGUUGAGAACUGCAUAACUAGAGUCACUGAGGGGCAAUCAGAAUUCCUGGUGUAGGGGUGAAAUCUGUAGAUAUCAGGAAGAAUACCAAUGGCGAAGGCAGGUUACCAGCAGAUGACUGACGCUGAGGUGCGAAGGUGCGGGGAGCAGACAGGAUUAGAUACCCUGGUA